CUUGGUCAUUUAGAGGAAGUAAAAGUCGUAACAAGGUCUCCGUUGGUGAACCAGCGGAGGGAUCAUUACCGAGUUUACAACUCCCAAACCCAAUGUGAACGUUACCAAACUGUUGCCUCGGCGGGAUCUCUGCCCCGGGUGCGUCGCAGCCCCGGACCAAGGCGCCCGCCGGAGGACCAACCAAAACUCUUUUGUAUACCCCCUCGCGGGUUUUUUAUAUCUGAGCCAUCUCGGCGCCUCUCGUAGGCGUUUCGAAAAUGAAUCAAAACUUUCAACAACGGAUCUCUUGGUUCUGGCAUCGAUGAAGAACGCAGCGAAAUGCGAUAAGUAAUGUGAAUUGCAGAAUUCAGUGAAUCAUCGAAUCUUUGAACGCACAUUGCGCCCGCCAGUAUUCUGGCGGGCAUGCCUGUCCGAGCGUCAUUUCAACCCUCGAACCCCUCCGGGGGGUCGGCGUUGGGGAUCGGCCCUUUACGGGGCCGGCCCCGAAAUACAGUGGCGGUCUCGCCGCAGCCUCUCCUGCGCAGUAGUUUGCACACUCGCAUCGGGAGCGCGGCGCGUCCAUUGCCGUAAAACACCCAACUUUCUGAAAUGUUGACCUCGGAUCAGGUAGGAAUACCCGCUGAACUUAAGCAUAUCAAUAAGCGGAGG
rnacentral:rRNA from 1 species